rnacentral:lncRNA from 1 species
AGGGCUAGUAGUAAGGCAUUGGGGAUCGUAGACCACUAAGGAGAGAGGCCAGUCUUCCUACUCAGCAUAGGACUUAGCUGGGAAGAGACUUUCUUCUUCUCCCCCUGUCGAUCUGGGAGCAGCCUUGUCUUUUCCUUUGUACUAUUUUUAGUUGAUAAAGAAUAAGCUCUGGAAGCGGAUAGGCCGAUGGUAGGGAAGGCUAGCACACAUCAUUUCUCUAA